AUUAGAGGUGAUAGAAUGGCAGCUGUGCCCUCGACAAUCAGAGAGAGAGCUGUACUUCAUGUCGCUUGGUCCACCAUGUCUGUUUUUUUCAGCCACCUCCUCUCCAGCCCAGCUCCCAGGCACCUGCUAAGGGGCGGAGCUGCUGCAUUGGCUUAA
rnacentral:lncRNA from 14 species